rnacentral:misc_RNA from 1 species
GAUGAAGAACGCAGCGAAAUGCGAUAAGUAAUGUGAAUUGCAGAAUUCCGUGAAUCAUCGAAUCUUUGAACGCACAUUGCGCCCUCUGGUAUUCCGGGGGGCAUGCCUGUCCGAGCGUCAUUUGCAACCCUCAAGCCCGGCUUGUGUGAUGGGUGCCGUCCCCUACGGGACGCGCCCCGAAGGCAAUGGCGGCGUCGCGGUUAUCCGAUCAGCCAAAGUGUAUGUGGCUUUGUCACUCACUUUACGGCCCGGACCGGCGCCAGUCCGAAUCAAUCUUUUUUCUAAAGUUGACCUCGGAUCAGGUAGGGAUACCCGCUGAACUUAAGCAUAUCAAUAAGCGGAGGA